rnacentral:tRNA from 1 species
GCCUUUGUAGUCUAAUUGGAAGCACGUCCGGCUAGCAGUCGGGAGGCCAGAGUUCGAAUCCUGGCAAGGGCA